rnacentral:rRNA from 1 species
CGUGCCAGCAGCCGCGGUAAUACGUAGGGGGCUAGCGUUGUUCGGAAUCACUGGGCGUAAAGGGAGUGUAGGCGGGAAGGUAAGUUAGGAGUUAAAUUCACAGGCUUAACCUGUGGCCUGCUCUUAAUACUGCCUUUCUUGAGUAUGGGAGAGGGUGAUGGAAUUCCAGGUGUAGCGGUGGAAUGCGUAGAUAUCUGGAAGAACACCAGUUGCGAAGGCGGUCACCUGGCCCAAUACUGACGCUGAGGCUCGAAAGCUAGGGGAGCGAACAGGAUUAGAUACCCUGGUAGUCCUAGCCGUAAACGAUGGAUACUAGUUGCUGGAGGAGUCAAUCCUUUCAGUGACGAAGUUAACGCAUCAAGUAUCCCGCCUGGGGAGUACGCUCGCAAGGGUGAAACUCAAAGGAAUUGACGGGGGCCCGCACAAGCGGUGGGGCAUGUGCUUUAAUUCGAUGCAACGCGAAGAACCUUACCUGGGUUUGACAUGGGAGUGAAAGGAUCCAGAGAUGGAACCCCUUCCGCAAGGAACACUUCACACAGGUGCUGCGUGGUUGUCGUCAGCUCGUGUCGUGAGAUGUUGGGUUAAGUCCCGCAACGAGCGCAACCCCUGCCCUUAGUUGCCAUCAGGUAAAGCUGGGAACUCUAAGGGGACCGCCUGUCGUAAACAGGAGGAAGGUGGGGAUGACGUCAAAUCAUCAUGGCCCUUACGCCCAGGGCUAGACACGUGCUACAAUGGUCGGUACAAUGGGAUGCGAACCUGCGAGGGCAAGCUAAUCCCAGAAAACCGGCCUCAGUCCGGAUUGGAGUCUGCAACUCGACUCCAUGAAGUUG